CCGAAAGAUCGGCCCGCGUCGGAUUAGCUAGUUGGUAGGGUAAUGGCCUACCAAGGCGACGAUCAGNUAGCUGGUCUGAGAGGAUGAUCAGCCACAUUGGGACUGAGACACGGCCCAAACUCCUACGGGAGGCAGCAGUGGGGAAUAUUGGACAAUGGGGGCAACCCUGAUCCAGCCAUGCCGCGUGAGUGAUGAAGGCCCUAGGGUUGUAAAGCUCUUUUGGGGGGAUAAUGAUGGUACCGCAAGAAUAAACCCCGGCUAACUUUGUGCCAGCAGCCCGGUAAUACAAAGGGGGCUAUUGUUCUUCNGAAUUACUGGGCUUAAAGGGGGCGUAGGCGGGUCUUAAGUCAGGGGUGAUAUUCCGGGGCUAAAUCUCAAAACUGCCUUUGAUACUGAAGAUCUUGAGUCCGGAGAAGGUGAGUGGAAUUUCGAGUGUAGAGGUGAAAUUCGNAGAUAUUCGCAAGAACACCAGUGGGGAAGGCGGCUCAUUACCCCGAUUCUGACGCUGAGGCUCGAAAGUUUUGGGGAGCAAACAGGAUUAGAUACCCUUGUUGUCCACCCCGUAAACGAUGAAUCCCAACCGUUAGUGGGUUUACUCACUGGUGGCGCAGCUAACGCGUUAAGCAUUCCCCCUGGGGUUUCUUCUCAAGAUUAAAACUUAAAGGAAUUGUCGGGGGCCCGCACAAUCGGUGGAGCAUGUGGUUUAAUUUGACGCAACGCGCAGAACCUUACCAGCCCUUGACAUGUCCAGGACCGGUCGCAGAGAUGUGACCUUUUCUUUGGAGCCUGGAGCACAGGUGCUGCAUGGCUGUCGUCAGCUCGUGUCGUGAGAUGUUGGGUUAAGUCCCGCAACGAGCGCAACCCCCGUCCUUAGUUGCUACCAUUUAGUUGAGCACUCUAAGGAGACUGCCGGUGAUAAGCCGCGAGGAAGGUGGGGAUGACGUCAAGUCCUCAUGGCCUUACGGGCGGCUAACACGUGCUACAAUGGCGGUGACAAUGGGUGCUAGGGGCGACCCUUCGCAAUCUCAAAAAGCCGUCUCAGUUCGGAUUGGGCUCUGCAACUCGAGCCCAUGAAGUUGGAAUCGCUAGUAAUCGUGGAUCAGCACGCCACGGUGAAUACGUUCCCGGGCCUUGUACACACCGCCCGUCACACCAUGGGAGUUGGUUUUACCUGAAGANCGGUGCGCUAACCCGCAAGGGA
rnacentral:rRNA from 1 species